CCACUUCCGCGCGCGGGAGAGGUGGUGGGGGGGAAAGGAGGUGGUGACCGAUCGCGGAAGUGGCGGCCGGGGCGGGCCGGGCUGUGAGGAACCGGGGUGGAUGGUCCCCGCCGCCCCGCGCACCAGGCUUCUUCCUGAGCCUGUAAGAACACCAGGGACUGUAGACUCCAUCUUUAGCCUCUUCCUCACGAAAUUCCCAGAGCCUCCGGAACUGGAUCCUCUGACUGGGCCUGAGCAGGGCCUAUGUAUCUGCAUCGAUUCCAGGAGUUUGUGCUGUCAGAGGUGACAUCUCCAGCAAAGGGCAGUUUGGACUAUCACACCUAGUAGGAGUGCCAAAGUGUUGAAGAUUUCUGCAGUGGACUUGGACAAAAACCACGGACAAAUUUUCCUGCUCCAGGUGUUUUCUAGAUAAUGGCGAAGAUGGUGAGAAGAACAUGUGCGUUUUGUCCAGACAGGGAGGCUGGUUCUGUCAUGUAUAUUGCUGAAGAGCAAGAUAUUGCAGCUCAUCAGGAUUGUCUGGUGAGUGACUUUCAGUUGG